rnacentral:rRNA from 1 species
GAUGAACGCUGGCGGCGUGCCUAACACAUGCAAGUCGAACGGAGUCCAGCCUUUAAGACCUUCGGGUCAAAGAGGGGAAGACUGAGUGGCGGACGGGUGAGUAACACGUGGGCAACCUGGCUCAUAGAGGGGGAUAACAGAGAGAAAUUUCUGCUAAUACCGCAUAAGCACACACUGCCGCAUGGCAGAGGGUGAAAAGAGAAUCGCUAUGAGGUGGACCCGCGUCUGAUUAGCCAGUUGGCAGGGUAAGAGCCUACCAAAGCGACGAUCAGUAGCCGAUCUGAGAGGAUGAACGGCCACAUUGGGACUGAGACACGGCCCAAACUCCUACGGGAGGCAGCAGUGGGGAUAUUGCACAAUGGGGGGAACCCUGAUGCAGCGACGCCGCGUGAGUGAAGAAGUAUUUCGGUAUGUAAAGCUCUAUCAGCAGGGAAGAUAAUGACAGUACCUGAAUAAGAAGCCCCGGCUAACUACGUG